UUGAACGCUGGCGGCAGGCCUAACACAUGCAAGUCGAACGGUAACAGGAAGCAGCUUGCUGCUUUGCUGACGAGUGGCGGACGGGUGAGUAAUGUCUGGGAAACUGCCCGAUGGAGGGGGAUAACUACUGGAAACGGUAGCUAAUACCGCAUAACGUCGCAAGACCAAAGAGGGGGACCUUAGGGCCUCUUGCCAUCGGAUGUGCCCAGAUGGGAUUAGCUAGUAGGUGGGGUAACGGCUCACCUAGGCGACGAUCCCUAGCUGGUCUGAGAGGAUGACCAGCCGCACUGGAACUGAGACACGGUCCAGACUCCUACGGGAGGCAGCAGUGGGGAAUAUUGCACAAUGGGCGCAAGCCUGAUGCAGCCAUGCCGCGUGUAUGAAGAAGGCCUUCGGGUUGUAAAGUACUUUCAGCGGGGAGGAAGGGAGUAAAGUUAAUACCUUUGCUCAUUGACGUUACCCGCAGAAGAAGCACCGGCUAACUCCGUG
rnacentral:rRNA from 1 species